GGAUGAACGCUGGCGGUCUGCUUAACACAUGCAAGUCGAACGGAACUAGAAAUAGUUUAGUGGCGGACGGGUGAGUAACGCGUGAGAAUCURGCUUGAGGUUCGGGACAACCACUGGAAACGGUGGCUAAUACCGGAUGUGCCGAAAGGUAAAAGGUUUACCGCCUGAAGAUGAGCUCGCGUCUGAUUAGCUAGUUGGUGUGGUAAGAGCGCACCAAGGCGACGAUCAGUAGCUGGUCUGAGAGGAUGAUCAGCCACACUGGGACUGAGACACGGCCCAGACUCCUACGGGAGGCAGCAGUGGGGAAUUUUCCGCAAUGGGCGAAAGCCUGACGGAGCAAGACCGCGUGAGGGAGGAAGGCUCUUGGGUCGUAAACCUCUUUUCUCUGGGAAUAAGAAAGUGAAGGUACCAGAGGAAUCAGCAUCGGCUAACUCCGUGCCAGCAGCCGCGGUAAUACGGAGGAUGCAAGCGUUAUCCGGAAUGAUUGGGCGUAAAGAGUCCGUAGGUGGUGAUUCAAGUCGAUUGUUAAAGAGCGGGGCUUAACCCCGUAGCAGCAGUGGAAACUGAAUCACUAGAGAGAGGUAGGGGUAGAGGGAAUUCCCGGUGUAGCGGUGAAAUGCGUAGAGAUCGGGAAGAACACCAGUGGCGAAGGCGCUCUACUGGACCUCAUCUGACACUGAGGGACGAAAGCUAGGGGAGCGAAAGGGAUUAGAUACCCCUGUAGUCCUAGCCGUAAACGAUGGAUACUAGGUGUUGUCUGUAUCGACCCGGACAGUGCCGUAGCUAACGCGUUAAGUAUCCCGCCUGGGGAGUACGCACGCAAGUGUGAAACUCAAAGGAAUUGACGGGGGCCCGCACAAGCGGUGGAGUAUGUGGUUUAAUUCGAUGCAACGCGAACAACCUUACCAGGGCUUGACAUGUCUGGAAUCUUGGGGAAACCUAGGAGUGCCUUCGG
rnacentral:rRNA from 1 species